rnacentral:lncRNA from 1 species
UGCAAACAGGUCUUAUAAAAAGUUAUCAUUUUUCUACAUUACCUCCAUUUUGGUUAAUAUAAGUCUUCCAGUACUUAACUAGUGCCCAAAUUCUUCUAGUAAAAAAUUAUUUGGGUUAUAUGCAUAGUUAUAGAUGCACCAUCUAUUGCACUGCAUCCUCGGACUGGAAGACUUUCUAUCUUCCAGUCAUUUUUCAUUUAAUAGAAUGCAAAAGUUUCUGGCAGGUUUUAACAUGUCACUCUUUCAAUUUGCAAGUCAAUUGUCUUGGUAUGCAGAACUAUACUUAUGGAACUGCUAUAUUAUGACUAAUGCUGUGUGUUCAUUUGUAUGGCUACUUCAUCUAUCAUAACUCAGUAGUCUUCCUUCAUGAUGAUUAUUGAGUUAUGAUAGCAAUUGUUUCAUGCAACAUCACUUGGGUCAGGCCUGAUGAAAUGAACUUAUCACAGAACUUCCUAUUCCAAUCAGAUUUCUAAAGUGGAAAUCAUGCAUCACUAUAUUAAACUUUCAUUUUCCAAUGAAUUUCAAUAGAUUUCAUACUUUCAAUAGCAAAAAAAAGAAUGAAAGAUUCAUGUUUCUCUUUCCUGCAUGUUUCCAGUGGGACUGCUAUCUUUACA